rnacentral:misc_RNA from 1 species
CAACCCUCAAGCACUGCUUGGUAUUGGGCUCCGCUGGUUUCAGCGGGCCUUAAAAUCAGUGGCAGCGCCGCCUGAGCUCUGAGCGUAGUAAAUACCCUCGCUAUAGAGACCCGGUGGCUCUUGUCAUCAACCCCCAACUUUCUAAGU